AACCUUCCAGUUUCCUUUCCCAUUAGGUCUGUACACUGGUCUGAGUGGUUACAAAAGAAGGAAAAGUAAACUGGAAACUGACUUUAAUGCUUUUGUAGUAUAUAGGCUAAAUUUCAAACAGAA
ensembl:snoRNA